UUUCUUUCUACUGUCUUUUCUGUUUUAAGAGGGGGAGCCCUGGUGCUAUGUUUAGGUUUUUGCCUUGUGACCUAGAGAUCUAGUAGUCAAUUGUGGAUAGCAGAGCAUAGGGACUGACCCCAAUAAAACUAUAAUGGGUAGCGGGAUAGCCACUACAACUAAGAAAAAAAGUUAUUUAUAGUCUACACAUAUAAAUACACAAAAACACUAAAAUACACCAAGAGUAAUUUUGCAGCAGAGAGGAGUAGUUCUGCAGAAUUAGAGAAAUGGUGAAGCAGAUAGGAAUGAGAGAAGAGAUGGAGAGUUUUCAGUUUUAAAUAAGGGGAAGAGAUAGAGGUAAACACAUGUAGCAGAGAAGGAAAUGGAAGAGUGUUAUAUGAGGGGAAGAAAUAGAGAUUUCUCAGUUUUAAAUGAGGGGAAGAAAUAGAGAAAAUAAAUAAAUGAGAAGAAAUAGAGAAAGAAGUUAAAUGAGGGGAAGAAAUUGAGAAAGAAAUGAAGUUAUUAAGCAUAUGUGUUUUAAAAUGAGGAAAGAAGUGGAGUAGUGUUUUUCAUAAAAAAAAAAACCCUAAAAAACUAACAGUUAAAAAAUAAGGCAAAACAGACUUUCAUCUAAAAAAUAGGUUUCACUUACCUUCAACCUAUAGUGGAUUCUAGACUGCGAAAUGGAGUACAAACUACUCGACCCGCAUCAGUUGUGACGACCUGUCUAUAUCACUAUCGGCCGUUUUGUUGUGCGGAGGGGCAAACAACCUCUGCGACACUGAUAUUGCACCGCUAUCACGUGUGAUUGACUACAAAGCUGGAAAUUACAGAUUCAAACCCCUGAAACAACUUAUCUGCUGGAAGGGGGUAAGGAAUACCUUUACGGAUUUGCCAUCCCCUUGACCCUUUUCUGUCUUUCCUGUUCUACUUUCUAGCCAGCUUUGUUCAUAAUUUACUACAUUUUGCUUGUUUUAUUUAUAUUGGGCCUAGUCUGUCUUGUUCCCACGUGUGUUGCCAAGUUCAGGUGUUUUCCAUUGUUUGGCUGGGUUUAUUAGUUUAUUUGUAACAAGCUGAGAAGAACUUAGUAGUUAGUAGCUUCAGGUUUAGAGGGAGUAUUAAAAUAUUAACAUUCAUGUUACUAGAUCAUCAACUAUAUUUAUGUUGAUUAGAUUGGAAUAAUCAUUAUAAUUAUCAUCUUCGACACAGGCACUGUUGGUUUCUUCUCUUUUCCACGUGUGACAAGUUGGAUGCAUAUGAUCCAACUUGAGGGAGAGUGAUGUAUAUAGUGAAGUGGCUCAGAUCUCUUGAGCUGAGGAUCUAUUAUGGUCUGGCUGCGAUUAGUGCUUGUGUUCUUGUUUUGUAAGCUUUAGCUUGAGGGGG
rnacentral:lncRNA from 1 species